rnacentral:rRNA from 1 species
ACGCUGGCGGCGGCCUAACAAUGCAAGUCGAACGCCGUAGCAAUACGGAGUGGCAGACGGGUGAGUAACACGUGGGAACAUGCCCUUCGGUUCGGAAUAACUCAGGGAAACUUGAGCUAAUACCGGAUACGCCCAAGGCAACUUGGAGAAAGAUUUAUCGCCGAUGGAUUGGCCCGCGUCUGAUUAGCUAGUUGGUGGGGUAACGGCUCACCAAGGCGACGAUCAGUAGCUGGUCUGAGAGGAUGAUCAGCCACAUUGGGACUGAGACACGGCCCAAACUCCUACGGGAGGCAGCAGUGGGGAAUAUUGGACAAUGGGCGCAAGCCUGAUCCAGCCAUGCCGCGUGAGUGAUGAAGGCCCUAGGGUUGUAAAGCUCUUUUACCUGGGAAGAUAAUGACGGUACCGGGAGAAUAAGCCCCGGCUAACUUCGUGCCAGCAGCCGCGGUAAUACGAAGGGGGCUAGCGUUGUUCGGAAUCACUGGGCGUAAAGCGCAUGUAGGCGGAUUCUUAAGUCAGGGGUGAAAUCCCGAGGCUCAACCUCGGAACUGCCUUUGAUACUGGGGAUCUUGAGUCCGGGAGAGGUGAGUGGAAUUGCGA